GCUGGCUGCGCAUGUCAAGCUCGCCUGCUUGGCGACCUGUCUCUUUUGGAUGUAGCUCGUUUGUCGGGCUCGCUGCGUUUUCUUGCGUUCCGUCUGCAUUUCGACACGGCACUGCUGCACUACUGGACUGACAAGCUGAUGGCAUCUGGUGGGGCAUCGUAUGGCAACGACUGCUGCUUACGUGGUGCCACAACUUGGGAUGAAUGCACAAGAAGCCCGGGACGAGAAUUUAUAUAGAGCAAAAUAAACAUUUCAUCAUUUCAGAA